ensembl:snoRNA SNORA74 Small nucleolar RNA SNORA74
UCCAGCACUCAGUCAGCUGACCAGGUGACGCGUCUUGUCUCAGUGUUACAGUGCUGGUAGAGGAAGUCUCUGUACCGGCUCUCGGCUUUUGCGGGUUCUGUUUUAGAGUCCGCUGCUUCUGAGCCUUUGCAGAGCAUGGCCCACCGAGAGUGGCCGGUCCUGAUCCUACAGGACAGGCCUAGGAACGGCCGCACAUU